rnacentral:lncRNA from 1 species
AUUGGUAGGAGUGUUUGAUACACCUCUUAUCUGCUCGCAUGGCUUCUCUGUGGAACAUCUUGCAACCGUUUUGAUCUGAGAAUUACCAGAAACAUCACCCACAGUUGGUUUUGAUGAGGUUGGCAGUGGCUUGAUUUUCUCUUUGACCUGAGAAUUACCAGAAACAUCACCGACAGUUGGUUUUGAUGACGUUGACAGUGGCUUGAUUUUCUCUUUGAUCUGAGAAUUACCAGAAACAUCACCGACAGUUGGUUUUGAUGAGGUUGGCAGUGGCUUGAUUUUCUCUUUGAUCUGAGAAUUACCAGAAACAUCACCAACAGUUGGUUUUGAUGACGUCGACAGUGGCUUGAUUUUCUCUUUGAUCUGAGAAUUACCAGAAACAUCACCGACAGUUGGUUUUGAUGACGUCGACAGUGGCUUGAUUUUCUCUUUGAUCUGAGAAUUACAAGAAACAUCACCGGCAGUUGGUUUUGAUGAGGUUGACAGUGGCUUGAUUUUCUCUUUGAUCUGAGAAUUACCAGAAACAUCACCGACAGUUGGUUUUGAUGAGGUUGACAGUGGCUUGAUUUUCUCUUUCCCUGAACCAACUCCCUUGGAGAAAGGAAAGCUGCGCCGACUGGUCUGGUCAUUGUUACAGCUAGAUAAUUUUCUGCGCUUUGACACUGGGGAUAAAU